rnacentral:lncRNA from 1 species
UUUUGAUAUAGGUGUUUAUUGCUAAGAACUCCUGUCUUAAGGAUAUUUGUCAGUAAUAUUCACUACUGUAUGCUCAGCACCUAGAAAAAUUUAUGGCAAAUAGGAUACAUUUUUAAAAUUUUGUUUAGUUAAAAUUUUAAUUAGGAUUUUGCCUAUCUUAACAACAUUAUAUUUCAACCAGUAAAUAGCAGUUUCAAGCAAAAACAAAAACAAAACUCCCCUCCUAGAACUGCUUUUGCUGUAUCCCAUAGGUUUUGGUAUGUUGUGUUUCCAUUUUCAUUUUUCUCUAGGAAAUUUUUAAUUUCUUUUUUUAUUUCUUCAUUGACCCAUUCAUUAUUAGAAGUAUGUUAUUUAAUUUUUAUGAAUUUAUAGUUUCCAAUAUUACUUCCAUUAUUGAUUUCCAGUUUACUCCACUGUAGUCAGAAAAAAUACUGGAUGUUAUUUUGUUGUUUUUUGUUUUAUUUUAUUUUAACUUCUGGGAUACAUGUGCAAGAUGUGCAGGUUUGUUACAUAGGUAAACAUGUGCCAUGGUGGUUUACUACACCUAUCCAUCAUCUAAAUAUCAAGACCCACAUGCGUUAGCUAUUUAUCCUGAUGCUCUCCCUUCCCCCACCCCUCCAACAGGCCCCAGUCUGUGUUGUUCCCUUCCUUGUGUCCAUGUGUUCUCAUUGUUCAGCUAAUACUUAUAAGUGAGAACAUGCAGUGUUUGGUUUUCUGUUCUUUUGUUAGUUUGCUGAGGAUAAUGGCUUCCAGCUCCAUCCAAGUCCCUGCAAAGGACAUGAUCUCAUUCUUUUUUAUGGCUGUUCUGUUUUUUUUUUUUUUAAUUUGUUAAGAAUUGUUUUGUGACAUGCCGUGUGGUCUGUCUAUCCUAAAAGAUUUUCUGUGUGCUGUUGAGAAAUAUGUGUACUCAGCAGCUGUUGGAUGGAAUGUUUUGUAAAUGUCUGCUGUUAGGUCCACUUGGUCUAGAGCACAAUUUAACUCUGAUUUUUUUGUUGGUGUUGAUUUUCCCUCUGGACAAUCUGUCCAUUGUUGAAAGAGGAUGUCAAAAUCCCCUACUAUUACUGUGUUGCAGUCAAUCUCUCCUUUUAGGUCUACUAAUAUUUGUUUUAUAUAUUUGUGUGCUCCAGUGUUGGGUGCAUAUAUAUUUAUGAUUGUUAUAUCCUCUUGCUGUGCUGACCCCUUCAUUAUUAUAUAAUGGCCUUCUUUGUCUUUUUUAUCAUUCUUGACUAAAAGCCUAUUUUAUCUGAUGUUAAGUAUAACUCCUGCUGCUCUUUCUUGGUUUCCAUUUGCAUGGAAUAUCUUUUUCCAUUCCUUCACUUUCCACCUGUGUGUGUCUUCAUAGGUGAAGUGAUCUUGUAGACAGCAUGUAGUUGGGUCUUGUUUUUUUUUAAUCUAUUUAGUCACUCUAUGUCUUUUAAUUAGAGAAUUUAAUCAAUUUACAUUCAAAUUUAUUAUUGAGAGGUAAAGGUUUACUAUUGCCAUUUUAUUACAUGUUUUCUGGUUGUUUUAUAGAUUCUUUCUUUCUCUUUUCCUCUUUUGCCAUAUUCCUUUGUGCUUAAGUGAUUUUCAGUAAUACAUUUUGAUUCUACACUAUUUAUUUUGGUAUAUCUAUUAUAGGUAUUUGCUUCGUGGUUACCAUGAGGCUUACAAAAAGCACAUUAUAACAGGUUAUUUUAAACUGAUAAUGACUUACCUUUGAUCACAAAGAAAAGUAACCAAAAAAAAUCUCUGCACUUUAAUACCAUUCUCCCCCACAUUUUGACUUACUGAUGUUUCCGUUUAUAUCAUUUUAUGUUGCCUAUCUCUUAGCCAAUUGUUACAGUUAUUGAUUUUAAUAAUUUUGCCUUUUAUUCUUUAUACUUAAGACAUAGGUGAUUUAGUUACCCCAACUAAAGUAUUAGAGUAUUAUAAAUUUGUCCGUUUCUUUCUUUUGUAAGGUAAUUGCUUUCUUUCAUAGGCCAGGAUGCAUAGAAUAUAUGAAAAUGAGAAGACAACAAUUUUAAGACUACAAAAUUUUACCAUCUUGAAUCUUUUGAAAAAGCUACCAAUCAUCUCCACUUACAAAGCUUGAAAAGCAAAAAUUUUACCUAUAUAAUUUUUAGACAAUCAUAUAAUGGCUUUAUAAGGCCACCAGGCUAUUAAAGGAGAAUGCAGAGUAUUGUAGAUGCUUCAAACCAAUGAAAAGUAUUCAACUUACACCUAAAACAGAUAAAUUAUUUUCCCUUUACCCAUAAUUUAUCUUCUAAUUUUACCAGCAGCAUUCUGUCAGCCCAGUACACUAAAACCACAUUGGUAGGAAAAUGUCAGUCAUGUUUUCUUCUUACAUUCUAUGAGUUAUUAACCAAGAGCACAGCUGGAUGAUUAACAACUUGUCUUAGUGCAAAAUGUUCCAAUUGCACCCUGACUGCCAGAAUUUUUUUUCAUUUUUUAUUUAUAAUUUUCCUGGCAAGCAUAUUGUUAACUUUACCUCUCUGUAGUUAACUACCAAAUGUGAACAAUAAGUUAUUGAACUUAUCAGCUUUCCUAUUCUUCCUAUUCUUCUAAGCAAGUCUAGUUUCUGCUUAGAGGAAAUAUUCACUAGAAAGAUUUUAACAAAUGAAAGAGUAGAACAGAGCAAACAACAUAAAAUAGAGAAGACAGUCCUUUGAAAAAUAUUUUAAGAUACCAAAAUGUCUAAUACUGAUGAGAAUGAAAAGGCAUAUGAUACAAAUAAAAUUAAGUAAAAAGGGGAAGUAAUUAGAUAUGUAAGUUUUUUUAAUUAUAAGCCAGUUUUUGGAUCAGCUAUAUGCUAGUAAAUUUUAAGAUAGAAGAUAUGCAUAAGUUCCUAGACUAUAAAAUUACAAGUUGACACAAACAGAAAUACAGAAUUUAAAUAGAAGAAAACAUACUAAAAAAUGUAAAUAGUAGUCAAAAUAAAUAAAUAUUCAAAAUCUAUAAAAUGACAAUUUUUUUCCUCUUCCUUUCCAAAACUAACACCUUUCAUUAACUUUUUAAAAAAAUUUCUUUCUGCAUUGUGUAGGAACUUCAAUGCUCUCAAAUACAAUUAGUAAUGGUGAAAUCCUUGUCUUCUUGCCCAUCUGGAAAGGAAUGGGUGGUGUGGUAAAGCUGAAAGAGCAAUGAGUUAUGAAGUCUAAGAAAUGCAUUUCAAAUCCAAUUUCUAGUAUCACUUGAUGGCUUGGCAACCUUGAACAAGUUCCUAUUCCCCUCAUCUGCAGAACAACAAUAAAAAUAUCUAUUUCA